rnacentral:rRNA from 1 species
CGAUACAGGGUGACAGCCCCGUACACAAAAAUGCACAUGCUGUGAGCUCGAUGAGUAGGGCGGGACACGUGGUAUCCUGUCUGAAUAUGGGGGGACCAUCCUCCAAGGCUAAAUACUCCUGACUGACCGAUAGUGAACCAGUACCGUGAGGGAAAGGCGAAAAGAACCCCGGCGAGGGGAGUGAAAAAGAACCUGAAACCGUGUACGUACAAGCAGUGGGAGCACAGAGCAAUCUGUGUGACUGCGUACCUUUUGUAUAAUGGGUCAGCGACUUAUAUUCUGUAGCAAGGUUAACCGAAUAGGGGAGCCGAAGGGAAACCGAGUCUUAACCGGGCGUUAAGUUGCAGGGUAUAGACCCGAAACCCGGUGAUCUAGCCAUGGGCAGGUUGAAGGUUGGGUAACACUAACUGGAGGACCGAACCGACUAAUGUUGAAAAAUUAGCGGAUGACUUGUGGCUGGGGGUGAAAGGCCAAUCAAACCGGGAGAUAGCUGGUUCUCCCCGAAAGCUAUUUAGGUAGCGCCUCGUGAAUUCAUCUCCGGGGGUAGAGCACUGUUUCGGCAAGGGGGUCAUCCCGACUUACCAACCCGAUGCAAACUGCGAAUACCGGAGAAUGUUAUCACGGGAGACACACGGCGGGUGCUAACGUCCGUCGUGAAGAGGGAAACAACCCAGACCGCCAGCUAAGGUCCCAAAGUCAUGGUUAAGUGGGAAACGAUGUGGGAAGGCCCAGACAGCCAGGAUGUUGGCUUAGAAGCAGCCAUCAUUUAAAGAAAGCGUAAUAGCUCACUGGUCGAGUCGGCCUGCGCGGAAGAUGUAACGGGGCUAAACCAUGCACCGAAGCUGCGGCAGCGACACUGUGUGUUGUUGGGUAGGGGAGCGU